AAAUAAAGCAUAGGCAUGGCCAUGGGAGCAUGGUGGGCGAUGAAGAAGAGCUUACUAGUGAAGCUGAGUGUGUAUCUGCUGAUCAUCGCCAUGGCUAACUGCGCUCGGGAUAACCCUGACUCCGUUGCCAACCGCUCUCCCGGUCAUGGGGUGCAGCCGUAUCUAUAUACACCUGCGACGACAUUACCGAGACGUGGCACGGAGGGUUGUGCGCCAAGCACGGCACCUGUAACAAGCCGUGCCGGACGGAAGAGUAUGACUCGGGCUUCUGUGCCGCCUUCCCCUUCCUGUUCUACUGCUGCUGCAAGAAGAACUAUCCCGAGGCUCUGCAGCCACGCAGGAGGAGCUUCGUGUGCGGAUAAUAGUCUACAUUAUUAGCGUACAUGCCAUGUACUAGUAGUAUGGAUGCGUGCAUGCGUGGUUGCUGAAAUAAAUAAAUCUCAUUUCAGACCGUGUGCGUGCCUGCCUAUUGAUGGCAAAAAGAACCGCCAUUGUAAUUUGUUGGAACUGCUAGCUAUUUCUCAGUCACCAAGAACUGUC